rnacentral:tRNA from 1 species
UGUAGCUCAGCAGGUAGAGCAUGGCGCUUGUAACGCCAGGGUUGUGGGUUCGAUUCCCGGGACCA